GGAGGUGUCGCCUAGUGGCUAUGGCAGCGGUUUCGAAAACCGUCGAGCUCACGCUCUCGCAGGUUCGAGUCCUGUCACCUCCG
rnacentral:tRNA from 1 species